rnacentral:rRNA from 1 species
UGACGCAGGAAGGUAGCCCAGCCCAGGCGAUGGUAGUCCUGGGGUAAGCAUGUAGGGAGGACCGUAGGUAAAUCCGCGGUUCAUUAAUCCUGAGAUGUGAUGCCGAGCCGAUUGUGGCGAAGUGGGUGAUCCUAUGCUGCCGAGAAAAGCCUCUAGUGAGUGUCGUGGCGGCCCGUACCCCAAACCGACUCAGGUGGUCAGGUAGAGAAUACCAAGGCGAUCGGGUGAACUGUGGUUAAGGAACUCGGCAAAUUGCCCCCGUAACUUCGGGAGAAGGGGGGCCUCCGCUGGUGAUCAGACUUGCUUUGUGAGCUGGUGGGGGUCGCAGAGGCCAGGGGGAAGCGACUGUUUACUAAAAACACAGGUCCGUGCGAAGUCGUAAGACGAUGUAUACGGACUGACGCCUGCCCGGUGCUGGAACGUUUAGGGGACCGGUUAGCGCAUCCUUUGGGGUGUGCGAGGCUGAGAACUUAAGCGCCAGUAAACGGCGGUGGUAACUAUAACCAUCCUAAGGUAGCGAAAUUCCUUGUCGGGUAAGUUCCGACCUGCACGAAUGGCGUAACGACUUCCCCGCUGUCUCAACCGCAGACCCGGCGAAAUUGCACUACGAGUAAAGAUGCUCGUUACGCGCAGCAGGACGGAAAGACCCCGGGACCUUCACUACAGCUUGACAUUGGCGUUUGGAACGUCUUGUGUAGGAUAGGUGGGAGACUGUGAAGCUGUCACGCUAGUGGCGGUGGAGUCAUUGGUGAAAUACCACUCUGGUCGUUUUGAACGUCUAACUUCGGUCCGUGAUCCUGAUCAGGGACAGUGUCUGGUGGGUAGUUUAACUGGGGCGGUUGCCUCCUAAAGAGUAACGGAGGCGCCCAAAGGUUCCCUCAGCCUGGUUGGUAAUCAGGUGUAGAGUGUAAGUGCACAAGGGAGCUUGACUGUGAGACCGACGGGUCGAGCAGGAGCGAAAGCUGGGACUAGUGAUCCGGCGGUGGCAUGUGGAAGCGCCGUCGCUCAACGGCUAAAAGGUACCCCGGGGAUAACAGGCUGAUCUUCCCCAAGAGUCCAUAUCGACGGGAUGGUUUGGCACCUCGAUGUCGGCUCGUCGCAUCCUGGGGCUGGAGUAGGUCCCAAGGGUUGGGCUGUUCGCCCAUUAAAGCGGUACGCGAGCUGGGUUUAGAACGUCGCGAGACAGUUCGGUCCCUAUCCGCUGCGCGCGCAGGAGACUUGAAAGGAGCUGUCCCUAGUACGAGAGGACCGGGACGGACGAACCUCUGGUGUGCCAGUUGUUCCGCCAGGAGCAUGGCUGGUUGGCUACGUUCGGAGGGGAUAACCGCUGAAAGCAUCUAAGCGGGAAGCUCGCCUUGAGAUGAGGUCUCCCACCACGAGAGUGGGUAAGGCCCCCGGGAGACGACCGGGUUGAUAGGCCGGAGGUGGAAGCAUGGCAACGUGUGGAGCUGACCGGUACUAAUAGGCCGAGGACUUGACCG